CUUAAAACCUCAAGGAACUUCAUAGCAGCAGCAAAGCAAAGGAAAGAGCAACAAUGGUGAAGGCGUACCUGAGGUACGAGCCGGCGGUGUCGUUUGGUGUAAUAGCAUCGAUAGAUUCGAAUAUCGCAUACGACACCUCCGGGAAGCACCUUCUAGCUGCGGCUCUCGAGAAGGUCGGAGUUUGGCAUGUGCGCCAAGGCAUCUGCACAAAAACCCUAGUUCCUUCUACGUCCUCUCGCAGUGGUCCCUCCCUCGCUGUCACCUCUAUUGCAUCUUCUCCUUCGUCUCUGGUUGCGAGUGGGUAUGCCGAUGGUAGUAUAAGAAUUUGGGAUGGUGACAAAGGAACCUGUGAGACCACAUUGAAUGGACACAAAGGGGCCAUCACUGUUCUAAGGUACAACAAGUCUGGCUCAUUGCUUGCAUCUGGAAGUAAAGAUAAUGAUAUCAUACUAUGGGAUGUGGUUGGUGAGACUGGCCUUUUUCGCCUCCGAGGGCAUCGAGACCAGGUCACUGAUCUUGUUUUCUUGGAGUCUGGGAAAAAACUUGUCAGUUCCUCCAAAGACAAAUUUUUGAGAGUUUGGGAUCUUGAGACGCAGUACUGUAUGCAAAUAAUUAGUGGCCAUCACAGUGAAAUUUGGUCAAUUGAUAUUGAUCCAGAGGAAAGAUAUUUGGUAACUGGUUCUGCAGAUCCAGAACUUCGAUUUUACUUGCUUAAGCAUGAAUUGGUGGAUGGGCAACGCUUAUUGAAUGAAAAUAGAGUUGAAAUUAUGAACGGUGGAGAUUCGUCUACUCAAAAUAAAUGGGAAGUUUUGAAGCUGUUUGGUGAAGUUCAGAGACAGAAUAAGGAUAGAGUUGCAACCGUGAGAUUCAACAAGUCAGGAAAUUUGCUGGCUUGUCAAGUGGCAGGAAAAACAGUGGACAUAUUCCGUGUACUGGAUGAAAAUGAAGCAAAGCGUAAAGCGAAACGUAGGGUUCAUAGGAAGAAAGAGAAGAAGUCUGCAAAAGGGACAGCCGAGUCAACUGAAAUUAAAGAUGCCAAACUUUUAACUGAAGAAGGAGGGGCCCUUAUGGUUACAGUUCCUGAUGUUUUUAAGCUGCUUCAAACUGUUCGCGCUAGCAAAAAGAUCUGUUCCAUCUCCUUUAAUCCAAUCACUCCUACAAACUCCUUAGCCACUUUAGCAUUGUCUUUGAAUAAUAAUUUAUUGGAAUUUUAUUCUAUCGAAAGCAAUACAGCUACAAAAUCUCUAUCUAUUGAGCUCCAGGGGCACCGUUCUGAUGUCAGAAGCGUUACACUUUGUUCAGAUGAUACUGUUUUGAUGUCCACAAGUCACAAUGCUGUAAAGUUUUGGAAUCCAAGUACUGGUUCUUGUCUUCGAACCAUUGAUUCUGGGUAUGGACUGUGUGGCUUGAUUGUUCCGCAUAACAAGUAUGCUCUUGUUGGAACUAAAGAUGGAAAAAUAGAAAUAAUCGAAAUUGGUAGUGGCACUUGUAUUGAGGUAGUGGAAGCUCAUGGUGGUUCAGUACGGUCUAUUGCUCCCAUUCCAAAUGAAAAUGGUUUUGUCACGGGCAGUGCAGAUCAUGAUGUUAAGUUCUGGGAGUAUCAAGUGAAGCAGAAACCUGGUCAAGAUACUAAGCACCUCACGGUGUCAAAUGUGAGAACUAUGAAGAUGAAUGAUGAUGUUCUAGUGGUUGCGGUUAGCCCUGAUGCUAAAUAUAUUGCCGUUGCACUUUUGGAUUGCACAGUGAAGGUUUUCUUUGUGGAUACACUUAAAUUUUUCCUUUCAUUAUAUGGUCACAAACUGCCUGUGCUAUGUAUGGAUAUCUCAUCAGAUGGAGAUUUGAUCGUUACUGGUUCGGCAGAUAAAAAUUUAAAAAUUUGGGGUUUGGAUUUUGGUGACUGCCAUAAAUCCCUUUUUGCCCAUGCUGAUAGUGUUAUGGCAGUACAAUUUGUGCGCAAUACACAUUACAUGUUCAGUGUUGGGAAAGAUCGCCUUGUAAAAUACUGGGAUGCUGAUAAGUUUGAACUGCUUUUAACUCUUGAGGGACAUCAUGCAGAUGUUUGGUGUCUUGCAAUCAGCAACCGUGGUGAUUUUGUUGUCACAGGGUCUCAUGACCGAUCCAUACGUCGCUGGGAUCGGACGGAAGAACCAUUUUUCAUUGAAGAAGAGAAGGAAAAAAGAUUGGAAGAAAUGUUUGAGGCUGACCUUGACAAUGCAUUUGAAAACAGAUAUGCACUCAAGGACGAACUCCCAGAGGAGGGAGCUGUGGCCUUGGCAGGAAAGAGAACUCAAGAAACCCUUACAGCAACUGACUUGAUUAUUGAUGCAUUAGAUGCAGCAGAGGUGGAACUGAAGCGCAUUGCUGAGCAUGAGGAGGAGAAAACCAGGGGAAGAGUUACUGAGUUCCAACCAAACCCUAUUUUGCAUGGGCUUGCAGCAUCUGAUUAUGUUCUUCGUGCAAUUUCAAAUGUUCAGACCAAUGAUCUGGAGCAGACAUUACUGGCUUUACCAUUCUCGGAUGCUCUGAAGCUGCUCUCAUACUUGAAGGAUUGGGCCUCAAAUCCUGAUAAGGUUGGCAGUCGCAAGCAUUUGAAUGAACAAAAUUGUGUAUUCAUCAUGUGCUAGCAUUUAUUAAAUAACAUUAGAAGUUGUUACCUGUUUUGUUUCUAUGUUGUGCUAAUCAUCUCCAUAUAGACAUUGGUUUCUCCACCUACUUUAAACCAUUCAUGGCUUGCACAUGAUAGAAUAAGUUUCUAUGUCAACAUCAAAUUAUUUAGUUGUUAAGUUAUUACUUGCUUUUGGGAAAAAAAAAGUUAUUACUUGCUUUGCAUUCCAGGUUGAGCUUGUUUGCAGGGUUGCUACCGUGCUAUUGCAGACACAUCAUAAUCAGUUAGUUACCACCCCAGCUGCAAGACCUGUGUUGACUGUUCUCAAGGACAUUCUUUAUGCAAGAGUCAAGGUAUUUGUACGGUUCAGCCUUAUUUAGUAUAUAGGUUCAGCCUUAUUGAGUAUACAUUUCAUCAAGUUAGGUGAAAAUCCAAUUCAACAUUGGUCCUGUCAUAACAUAUGCCUGAUUUGUGCGUAGUAUAUUCUCUGCAAUGAUGCAUUUUACUUCAUAUCAUGUUAUAUUAAGUGGAGCAUGAGAAAUUUGAGAGUCUACAUUGACAAGAUGAUAUUUGGGCCUCCCAGGAGUGCAAGGAUACACUUGGAUUCAAUCUUGCAGCAAUGGAUCAUCUGAAGCAAUUGAUGGCUUCUAGAUCAGAUGCACUCUUUAAAGAUGCGAAAACAAAAUUGCAAGAAAUCCGUUUGCAGCAGUUUAAACGGUUGGAAGCAAGGACAGAUACAAAAGAGGAGAAAAGGAAAAUGAAAAAACAGAAGAAAUCAAGUGACGUACAUGCUUGGACAUGACUAAUUAAGCAAGAGAGGAAAUGCAAUAGAUAAUCAGUAAAAUCACCGGUUAUACACUAUGAAAGCCAUAAUCACAGUCCACAAGUCGAAGAAAUUGUUUUGCUAGAGAAGUAAAUAGCAUGCAGAUGUGGACUGAAGUUGGCAGUUUUGGGACAUUAUUUAAGUAUUCAUCUCAUUCUAAAUGUAAAAUAUUUAGUGAUGGUUUGACCCAAAGGAAUUUCAGUUUCCCAUGAAAUGUUGAAUGUGAGUGAUAGUGAUGAUGUUUAUGUGAGCAUAUCAUGAAAUGAGCAUUCUUGUUGAAUUGAAAUUUGG
rnacentral:misc_RNA from 1 species